rnacentral:rRNA from 1 species
ACAUGCAAGUCGAGGGGCAGCAUGGACCCAGUUUGCUGGGUUUGAUGGCGACCGGCGCACGGGUGAGUAACGCGUAUCCAACCUGCCCUUUACUCCGGGAUAGUCUCCUGAAAGGGAGUUUAAUACCGGAUGUGUUUGUCUUUCCGCAUGGGAGCGACAAAUAAAGAUUGAUUGGUAAAGGAUGGGGAUGCGUCCCAUUAGCUUGUUGGCGGGGUAACGGCCCACCAAGGCGACGAUGGAUAGGGGUUCUGAGAGGAAGGUCCCCCACAUUGGAACUGAGACACGGUCCAAACUCCUACGGGAGGCAGCAGUGAGGAAUAUUGGUCAAUGGGCGGGAGCCUGAACCAGCCAAGUAGCGUGAAGGAUGACGGCCCUACGGGUUGUAAACUUCUUUUAUAAGGGAAUAAAGUUCGCCACGUGUGGUGUUUUGUAUGUACCUUAUGAAUAAGCAUCGGCUAAUUCCGUGCCAGCAGCCGCGGUAAUACGGAAGAUGCGAGCGUUAUCCGGAUUUAUUGGGUUUAAAGGGAGCGUAGGCGGGCUUUUAAGUCAGCGGUCAAAGUUUGCCACGGCUCAACCGUGGCCAGCCGUUGAAACUGCAAGCCUUGAGUCUGCAACAGAGGCACAUGGAAUUCGUGGUGUAGCGGUGAAAUGCUUAGAUAUCACGAAGAACUCCGAUCGCGAAGGCAUUGUGCCGGGGCAUAACUGACGCUGAGGCUCGAAAGUGCGGGUAUCAAACAGGAUUAGAUACCCUGGUAGUCCGCACGGUAAACGAUGAAUGCUCGCUAUGGGCGAUACAAUGUCCGUGGCCAAGCGAAAGCGUUAAGCAUUCCACCUGGGGAGGACGCCGGCAACGGUGAAACUCAAAGGAAUUGACGGGGGCCCGCACAAGCGGAGGAACAUGUGGUUUAAUUCGAUGAUACGCGAGGAACCUUACCCGGGCUUGAAUUGCAGGUGCAUGAGUCGGAGACGGCUCUUUCCUUCGGGACUCCUGUGAAGGUGCUGCAUGGUUGUCGUCAGCUCGUGCCGUGAGGUGUCGGCUUAAGUGCCAUAACGAGCGCAACCCUUCUCCCCAGUUGCCAUCGGGUAAUGCCGGGCCCUCUGGGGACACUGCCAUCGUAAGAUGCGAGGAAGGUGGGGAUGACGUCAAAUCAGCACGGCCCUUAC